UACGGGAGGCAGCAGUGGGGAAUAUUGCACAAUGGGCGCAAGCCUGAUGCAGCCAUGCCGCGUGUAUGAAGAAGGCCUUCGGGUUGUAAAGUACUUUCAGUCGUGAGGAAGGUGUUAAGGUUAAUAACCUUAGCAAUUGACGUUAGCGACAGAAGAAGCACCGGCUAACUCCGUGCCAGCAGCCGCGGUAAUACGGAGGGUGCGAGCGUUAAUCGGAAUUACUGGGCUAAAGGGCACGCAGGCGGUUAAUUAAGUUGGAUGUGAAUCCCGGGCUUAACCUGGGAAUGGCAUUCAAGACUGGUUAGCUAGAGUCUUGUAGAGGGGGUAGAAUUCCGAUGUGUAGCGGUGAAAUGCGUAGAGAUGUGGAGGAAUCCGGGUGGCGAAGGCGGCCCCUGGGACAAAGGCUGACGCUCAUGUGCGAAAGCGUGGGGAGCGAAACAGGGAUUAGAUACC
rnacentral:rRNA from 1 species